rnacentral:rRNA from 1 species
UGGGGAAUUUUGGACAAUGGGCGAAAGCUNNUCAGCAAAUGCCGCGUGUGUGAAGAAGGCCUUCGGGUUGUAAAGCACUUUUGUCCGGAAAGAAAUCCUUGGCUCUAAUACAGUCGGGGGAUGACGGUACCGGAAGAAUAAGCACCGGCUAACUACGUGCCAGCAGCCGCGGUAAUACGUAGGGUGCAAGCGUUAAUCGGAAUUACUGGGCGUAAAGCGUGCGCAGGCGGUUUGCUAAGACCGAUGUGAAAUCCCCGGGCUCAACCUGGGAACUGCAUUGGUGACUGGCAGGCUAGAGUAUGGCAGAGGGGGGUAGAAUUCCACGUGUAGCAGUGAAAUGCGUAGAGAUGUGGAGGAAUACCGAUGGCGAAGGCAGCCCCCUGGGCCAAUACUGACGCUCAUGCACGAAAGCGUGGGGAGCAAACAGGAUUAGAUACCCUGGUAGUCCACGCCCUAAACGAUGUCAACUAGUUGUUGGGGAUUCAUUUCCUUAGUAACGUAGCUAACGCGUGAAGUUGACCGCCUGGGGAGUACGGUCGCAAGAUUAAAACUUAAAUGAAUUGACGGGGUCAUAGCUGUUUCCU